GGUCUCCUAUCACUAUUUUAUUUUUCUUUCUUUUGUUUCUAAUAAGCCUGUGGAAUGUUAAAUUGACCCACAUGACUUUCAAAGCCUCCCAUAGUUCAUUAUUUUAAUUUCCAGGUGUACAGAAAAAUAGUGUUACUUGAUUCAUAGAGGACUUAGGAGUUGUAUCUGUCUUCAUUAUGGGCUCUCCACAUCAUUUUUAUAAGUGAUGCUGAACUACAUAUUUGAACUGCACCCAAAACUUCCUGUCCUGUGAAGCUAGACCAAACUGUGCCUGACAUUCAGUACCAUGAAGAAGCAGAAGGCCCUGUCAUCUAGAAAUAAAAAAACUUGCUAAGGAUUCAGUUGCUGUUCCUUCUCUAUGUGUUUAUUAGUAUUUGGUUCAUGGUUACACAUACCUAUUCUCCUUGCUUUUCUCCUCCCUUUCUUUGCCUGUCACCCUAUAAAACCACACAUUUUAUGCAUGUCAAGAGCAGUCUGGAACCUAUAACACAGUUUACCUUUUGCUUGUCUUUGAAGACAGAACAUGUCCUUAAAGAGAUAAUGGUUAGUUGAAAGUAUAUGGAUUUCCUGGCUGAAAUCUUUUGUUUGCAUGGAAGACAGCACAUACCAUUUUAGUUUCCAUGAAAACCUUUUGCUCUGUGGAAAAGUUCCCCUGAAGCAGACCCUGAGUAAAGGAUUCAAAUAUUCCACGUCUUUUAAGAGGGAACAGACCUCCGUGUGACCAGACAGAGGGGCAUCAGAAACAACUAGCCAUUCCAGCCCAAAUGUCAGACAUGGGAGUGAAGAAGCCAUAUUGGAGACAAAUCUUUCUGGCCCAGCUAUUCCAGAUCCAGCCAGUAGAGUCAUCCCAAUUGAGGGCCCAGACAUCAUGGAACAGGAAAGAGAUGUCCCGUUGUGUAAUUUCUGAAUUCUUGACCAGUAGAAUCCAUGAGUAUAAUAAAAUGACUAUUGUUUAAUGUCACUAUGUGUUGGGAUGGAUGAUUAUGCAACAAUAGAUAACUGGGGCACAGAGAGAAGAGAUGAGCCUCCUACAACAAUCUGGGUAAGA